CUAUAUUUGAGGAAUCAUCUCCCAACGAUAUCCUAUUGGUUUAUUUAUCUGCUACAGGUUUGUUCGUUUUCCAACAAUAUUUAUAAACAAAGAAUUAAGUGAUUCACUAUGAUUUUUAAGUAAUAUUUCAUAUUGAAUUAACUACAUAGAACUAGUUAAUAUAUUGAUAUGUACAUUAAUCUUGGUAUAUCAUCUGGGUUUUCAUAUUUUGACUCAGUCAUUCCUUAAUUGUUAGCUUUGGUUGGUGUCAGAUUCUUGGAUUUUCAUCUGCACUGAAAUAAAUGAUAAAGAACUGGAUAUUCAUCUGCACUCCCAACGAUAUUCAUCGUCACAAUUCUCUGUACAUUAUUUUGCUGUAAUUUUUAUGUAUUUUGCCCCUAAAGAUGUGUAGGAAAGAGCGGGAAGUAUGUCUAUACGAUAUUAAAUGACAAAAAAAACAUGACUAU
rnacentral:lncRNA from 1 species